rnacentral:rRNA from 1 species
GACGAACGCUGGCGGCGUGCCUAAUACAUGCAAGUAGAACGCAGUUGCGAACGGGUGAGUAACGCGUAGGUAACUGCCGGGUAGCGGGGGGUAACUAUUGGAAACGAUAGCUAAUACCGCAUACUACCAGGUGGACCUGCGUUGUAUUAGCUAGUUGGUGGGGUAAAGGCUCACCAAGGCAACGAUACAUAGCCGACCUGGGAGGGGGAGCGGCCAAAAUGGGACUGGGAAAAGGGCCAGACUCCUAAGGGAGGGCGCAGGAGGGAAACUUCGGAAAUGGGCGGAAGUCUGACCGAGCAAAUCCGCGUGAGUGAAGAAGGUUUUCGGAUCGUAAAGCUCUGUUGUAAGAGAAGCGGUAUCUUAACAGAAAGGGACGGCUAACUACGUGCCAGCAGCCGCGGUAAUUC